AAAAAAGAAAAAAAAGAAAAAAAAGAAAAAACAAAAAAGAAUGAUGACAAUCCAAUUAUAUGGAAACCAUCUCUUUCUUUUUGUUCUUCU
rnacentral:ribozyme from 13 species